rnacentral:rRNA from 1 species
AGAAUCAACGCUGGCGGCGGUGCCUAACGACGAUAGCAAGUCGAACGAGAAAGUGGAGCAAUCCAUGAGUAAAGUGGCGCACGGGUGAGUAACACGUGACUAACCUACCUUUUAGUGGGGGAUAACCUAGGGAAACCUGGGCUAAUACCGCAUAAUACCUACGGGUCAAAGCAGCAAUGCGCUGAAAGAGGGGGUCGCGGUCGAUUAGUUAGUUGGCAGGGUAAUGGCCUACCAAGCUGUGAUCGAUAUCCGGCCUGAGAGGGCGCACGGACACACUGGAACUGAAACACGGUCCAGACUCCUACGGGAGGCAGCAGUGGGGAAUUUUGCGCAAUGGGGGAAACCCUGACGCAGCAACGCCGCGUGGAGGAUGAAGUCCCUUGGGACGUAAACUCUUUCGAUCGGGACGAUAAUGACGGUACCGGAAGAAGAAGCCCCGGCUAACUUCGCGCCAGCAGCCGC